rnacentral:piRNA from 1 species
UAUAUAACAAGCAACAAAUAC